CGUAACACGUGUGCAACCUGCCUUUAUCUGGGGGAUAGCCUUUCGAAAGGAAGAUUAAUACUCCAUAAUAUAUUGAACGGCAUCGUUUAGUAUUGAAAGCUCCGGCGGAUAGAGAUGGGCACGCGCAAGAUUAGCUAGUUGGUGAGGUAACGGCUCACCAAGGCGAUGAUCUUUAGGGGGCCUGAGAGGGUGAUCCCCCACACUGGUACUGAGACACGGACCAG
rnacentral:rRNA from 1 species